CUCUCCUUCAUCAAAGCUCUUUCUUUUCUCUCUUUCCAUCAAGCCAAUGCCUAAAUUUCUCUCCAAACUGCUGCCCCCAUCUCUCUUUCUUUCUUCUUCAUAAGUCUAGGGGAGGUACUAACCCUAGCACGACAUCAUAUUCUUUCAUAGAUAUAUUCUCCACAUCCUAAGAAGUCUAGAAGAGAUCUUAACCCUCGCAUGCC
rnacentral:lncRNA from 1 species